GAAAUAAAAUAACACGACACCGCCCAAACGGAGCCGAUCGGAACGGGGAAAUAGUAAGAGUGAUUAGGUUGUCUGAGUCGGAGCAAACCCUCUCAAGGAGACGAAACCCCAACCAUCGCCACAUCUCCCUCCUCCUCCUCCUCCUCCUCCCUCGAGAUUGGAGAUUGAGAGGGUCGGCGACGCGAAGAAGCCGGUGGUCGCCCGUGGUCUCCUGGAACGGCGGCUUCAGCUUCACGCUCCAGUUCUACGGCGCCAAUCCCGAUUCCGCCACCUUUCUGCGACAUCGCAUUAGCCCUUAGUACUGGCGAUGGCGCACACUCUUGAAGUAUGCCGAUAGUUUAUGAACUUGAUGGCCCUACUAGUGCAGGUACAUUUUUUCUUGGACAAGCUGCUUUUGUCAUCCUUGCUUUGUUAGAUUCAUUUCCAUCUCUGUGGUUCAGAAGAUUCUUGAAACAUGCACUGAUGAACAUUGUGCAAUCUUGCUCGAUCACAUAAAAGUUGAUCUGCAGGCUUUGGAGAAAGUUGCCUACAAGAAACAUAUGGUUGCUUGGGCAGAGCGGUCAUGUGGUGAAGAUGACAUAGUUGUGUUCUGGAUGAACACAGUAUCUCCUGUGAAUGAUUGCAACAUGAAGCAGCCAAGAUGCGUUAGCCCCUGCGAUUGAGUGCUUGAUGAUCAUUAUUGGAUCUGUCUUCGAAACUCAUCGUAUCCUUUGGGGCAUCACACGAAUCAUAGAUUUCGACUUUAAUUAAACCAACGAACCAACCAGAUUUAUGUCAGAGUAACGUGAUACAAAUGAUACAGCAUGAUGAUGAUGAUGCCUGUGGUAUACAUCCCCUUGAUUUACACGAAACAGUGGUGUAACGCUGGGUAUUAAUAUAUAAAUCCAGCUUAGUGUCCGAUGGUACAGAGGUUAUUGAAUUGGAGCUGCAGUCGACAAAGACCAACGCGUGUAACAACUGAGAAUGAUACUAUGAAUGAUGAUUAUUCUGACGAUUGAGAUA